CCCUGAGAGUCUGGGAAAGGCGGACACGUGGUGCCUUCAGGCUCUGGGGCCUAGGACCUUUGUGGUAGCAGAGUCAGUGCAGAGAACCAGAAAAUACCAGGUUGCUUAUAGAAGGAUGCCAUGUGCUUGCUGGAGGUCUCAGGUGCAACCAAAUUGCUUGCAGCUAGGAGGACCUUGAAGAGAAAUGGAACCAGCCCGCCAAACCAAGAAGGGUUAGCACUUUUGCUAGGAGAGCUGACCAGGCACAAACAGAUGAGAACCAAAAUCGAGUGAAGAGGAUUGAAGAUGAACCCACAUUUUAAAAGUUCUUGUCUGCUGGAGGUGGCAUUACCUGUGACUUCGCUUCACUUCUCCAUACAUGGCUGUUAUAGCAGAAAAUCCAGCUUUCUGAAGCACAUUUAAUGACAUAUGAUGAGACUUAUGUGAUGUGAGACCUGAGAAAACUAUGAUAGAAAGAAGCAACUCAAGCUGCAAGGAUAUUCCUCAUGUAUCAUGCAAGGAUAUUCCUCAUGUAUCAUGUUGCUCUGCUCCUGGGUCCAAGCUAUUCUCCUGCCUCAGCCUCCCAAGAAGCUGAAACUACAGGAACACGCAACUACCUGGCUUGCAAAUACCACUGCUAAUAAGAAGAUAUUGUAAGUCUGAUACCUAAGAGACAUGGAUCCCUGAAGUUGGUCCCCAAUACAAGGCAAUGUGAUAUCAUAAUAGAACACUGCAGACACAAUGCUGAGUGAAGAAGAGUAGAAAUGAGAAGACUUGGUUGAGCGGAAACUGAAUUCUUGAAAAGAGGAGAUGCUUGAUGAGGGCAUGGAAGCCUAAGGUUUGUCUCCAAAACUAUAAGACUAUUUGACAUCAUAAUAAAACACUGCAGAUAUGAUGCUGAGUAAGAGUGGAAAUGGGAAGACUUGGUUGUGCAGUAACUGAGUUCUUGAAAAGAGGAAAUGCUUGAUGAGGGCAUGGAUCACUAAGGUCUGUUCCCAAUAGGAGAAGACUAUUUGACAUCAUAAUAAAACACUGCAGAUAUGAUGCUGAGUGAAAAAGAGUAGAAAUGGGAAAACUUGGUUGUGCAGAAACUGAGUUCUUAAAGAGAGGAGAUACUUUAUGAGGGCAUGGAAAUCUAAGGUCUUUCCAGAAUACCACAAGACUACUUGAUAUCAUAAUAAAACACCGUAGAUAUGAUGCUGAGUAAGAGUAGAAAUGGGAAGACCUGGUUGUGGAGAAACUAAGUUCUUAAAAGGAGGAGAUGCUUGAUGAGGGCAUGGAUCCUUAAGGUCUGUUCCCAAUACAACAAGACUAUCUGUUAUCGUAAUAAAACACUGCUGAUAGGAUGCUGAAUGAAAAACAGUAGAAAUGGGGAGAUUUGGUUGUGCAGAAACUGAGUUCUUAAAAAGAGGAGAUGCUUGAUGAUGGUGAGUGGAUCUCAUCUCAGUUCAAUAUCCAAUGGAAGCCAAAAGCAAAUGGUUAAGAGUGGAAAAUGGUUACACAUAUUGAGCAGAAUAUUAGGUAUUUGUGCUUUCUGUUCUCUUUGUCUCUUCAUGGCAUUUUGUUUUGAAACGUAUAGUAAUGUAUCUUUAAAAAUCCAAACAAAAAGGUGAUAAGUGUCUACUUUUCUAAAGUAAUAUUUGUGAGGCCCUAUUUUAAGGUUUACCUUUACUCAUAUUGAAGGCGUGAAAUGUUGACAUAUAAGACUUAGUAGUGGUGACAUUCAAAUGAAUUCACCUCCUCAAAGGUUUGUUAAAAUGCACACUUGAUCUGAUCCAAACCACAGUGUACACAGUAAUCCACUUUUAAUACAGAUUUAUUUUUUUCAUGAAAUUAACAAUGUAUGUAUGUAUUUAAAGAUAUCCCUGGAAAUAAUCCAAAAGUUCUUAAGUUGCCUUGACUGGUUGUAUGGUAGUGGUCUUCUUCAUUAUUAAUACAUGGAUUUUUCUUAAUCUUUGUCAAGCAUUAUUCUUUAAUUUACUAGUUAAUCCUUAUACCUAAAAGACAUUAUAAAACUGUCAGAGACACACACAAACACAACCACACACAGCCCAUAAAGUCUCAGGAAAUACCUGAAGAAUAUGUAAUGGCAUGGGCACAUACUGUGUUUUGAUGUUAAAUGAUGAGACCAUGAGAUGAAACUCUGAUUCACCUUGACAGGAAUUAAGCAUAUGUACUAUGAGUAUCAUGCCAUGUGGAGUAUACAUGGCAUGCAGUAAGGAGUGUCACCUGGUUUCUCCUCUAACGGCUCAUGCCAAAUUGUUUCCUACAAUGUAUACAUAAGGCUCUUAGAAUAGGAAGAAUUCCGUGGAUGCCUGACAAGGGAGCCAGGGCCAAGACCUCUGGGAUUUUUAAAUUGUUGCUGGAGUUCUUUUCCAAGCUUUCAGCCCUUUUCUCCUUUUUGUGCGUUCAUCCACUGAAACUAUCCCCUGAAGAAGACAGUUUAAUGCCAUGGAAAUUAUUGGACCUGUAACUCUGAAGUAAAUCAAACCCACACAGACUAGGUCAGGAGAAUAAUUUCUUAAAGAACAAGAUUCCUGACAAGGGUGGUUGGUUUAGGCCUUGGUUUGAUUUCAAGUGGAAAACAAAAAGAAAAAACACAGCAGUAAGACCAGCUGGCUCUAAACUGGGCAAAAUAGAAGGCAUCCAUAUUUGGUGGCUCUUUGUGUAUGUGUGGCGUUUUUUCAGACAGGAAGGGCGGGAGAAGAGGGCUACAAACAGGGCUUCUUGACAUAUCUGGAGCACUACUGCCAUCGCGAGGAAGACUUUUAACAAAUUACAGUCGUUUACCGCCAUUACAGAGUUCUCUGAGCACUACCUGUUGGGGUAGGUGUGGUCUGGUAAGAGGUGAAAGAGGCUUGGCCUCCAUGCUGG